rnacentral:lncRNA from 1 species
CCCCUCUCUGUCUCCUGUUUCCUCUCACCCUCUUCCUCUUUCAGUCCCUAUCUCCAGCUCCUUUGUUUUCUCUACAACUGUUCAAACUCUCUCGCUUGCCUUUUGUCCUUUUCCCUUUCAUUUCCUGCCUCCUCUGCCCCACCAUUGCCCACAGGACAGACUACCUGGUUGCUAUGGGGUUGGUGCCUGCUCUCAUGAGACAAGGCAGGACCAUCUCACUAAAGCCCCGGCUCCAUUUGAAGGCAUGGUCUCAUAUGGCCCUUGCCAAGACCACUAACUGGAAGUCUGCAUGGCCCAUUUCUCUAUCAUCACGUGCUUCGGCGACAGACGUGCCGCUGGGCAACUCUGGGCACUGAAACCUCCAUCUGAAUCAUACUUCUACUGCUGUUGACAGUCCUCAGUGUGAGUAAACACAGUGACUCAUCCCAGAGACCAAGCCCAGGCACAGAGCCCUCCCUGCCCUCUCCCAGGGCACCAGCUAAAUCAGUAGCCUCAUCAAAGUGCCCAGUGCCACGCCAGCUCCCAAACCCUGCUCUUUCAGCUUCCCUCGGGAGAUCAGAACCAUGGAUGGACAACGGACACCACCUCCUCUUGCCCCAAAUGACUCUGACUCCCAAGGGCCUUCCUAGAAAAUGCCCUCAUUCAACAACUCAGUCCACACAGAUAGGUUUCUGUCCAGGGGUCUUCUUAGAGGCUAAGAAGGAGCCAGCCAGAGCAGCCACAGGGAAAAGAGAGAAAC